UCCAAAACACAACUCAUCGAUUUGCCCUAGUCUCCACAAUAACGCACGCCUCUCUACCUCCCUCUAUCCAUCUCUCAAAAUUUGUAUUUUCUCAAAGCAAAGGUUACAAAUUUGUUGAUUUGCGAAUCGCAGGUCUACCCUAGUUUUCAACCUCGCUCGUUUGCGAAUCUCAGGUUCAUCUAAUCCUGCAAAGGUAAAAGGAGUUCGACGUAGGAACAAGUGCAAAGAAGUUGCAUCACUUGAAGUCGGACAAAAGCUGAAAGUAACCUUUUACAACAAUCGAACGGUUGGAAUAAAGAGCAAAUUGUUUUCGAGACACUUGGGCAGAAUAGUUCAUGACUGCAAUAUGUGUCCUUUGGGAGUAUCAUCGUGGAAUGAUAUUAAGCAAGAAAAGUUGAAUCAUAUGCGGGCAGCUAUUGAGGUAACAAAUGUAGUUAAGAAUACACCUGUGCAUUUUGAGUCACACAUAUAAUGGUGUUAUAUGCAUUGUUGCGAGGAAGAAUAUAGGUGUAGUUAGGUGUUAUUGCAAACUUUUUAUUCAUAGAGUGUAUUUUUCUUAUUAGAACAUGUUCAAUAUUUUUGCAUUCUGUGUCUGAUUCUUAAUAUAGUGGUUCUUUUGGGUUUCUAAUAGUUUUCUAUUUGUGUAAUUGCGUGAGUGUGAUGAUAAUGGAAAGUAUAUUAUAGUGAAA